CUUCAGCGAGCCCAGCAGCAGCGGCCGCCCCUGGGGACGUACCUGCCCGUAGGUGGCGAGCAGUGCCUCGGCCUC
rnacentral:antisense_RNA from 1 species